CGGGUGUCCAUGAGUCACAGAGCCACUCCUUAACCCCUGGUCCUGCUCGCGGUGGAGAAGAGAAUUCCAUUUACAACAACCAAGUUUCUAAGAACUGAGGUGCCUCGGUUGUUAAUGCUAUCUUCACACAAUGAUUGCAGUCUUGUUUACAGAUGAGAAAACAGAAACUCAAGAGGCAAAGCCAGGUGCCCAAGGACAGAACCAGGAGGCCAGGCUGAACUGGACCUGGAGACCCUGAGGCCCAUCCUGUCUUCACCGUGUCCCGCUGCAGCCACGGCCACCCUAGCUGGAGACCAGGUGUACUAGGGAGCAGCUGAAGACACCUGGGAAGGGAAGAAAGGAGAAUAAGGAUUGGAGGAUGAACGUGGGGUGUGUGGGAGGUGGCGUGCUCACUACAUUGGAGAGAAGCAUAGGCCUUAAGCCAGGCAGGCCUUGGGGCAAAUCCCAGCUGCACACCACCAGCCGAGCGACCAGGACAACGGGAGCCAAAGCAUGCAGGCCUGAGCAGACUAGGGGGGCUCAGACCUCGACUUCGCCACUUGCUGCCUGAGAGAUCUUGGCAGGUUACCUGGCAUCUUGUUU
rnacentral:lncRNA from 1 species